rnacentral:rRNA from 1 species
UACGAAGGGGGCUAGCGUUGCUCGGAAUUACUGGGCGUAAAGGGAGCGUAGGCGGACAGUUUAGUCAGAGGUGAAAGCCCAGGGCUCAACCUUGGAAUUGCCUUUGAUACUGACUGUCUUGAGUAUGGGAGAGGUUAGCGGAACUCCGAGUGUAGAGGUGAAAUUCGUAGAUAUUCGGAAGAACACCAGUGGCGAAGGCGGCUAACUGGCCCAUUACUGACGCUGAGGCUCGGAAAGC